CCUACGGGAGGCAGCAGUGGGGAAUAUUGGACAAUGGGGGCAACCCUGAUCCAGCCAUGCCGCGUGUGUGAAGAAGGCCCUCGGGUUGUAAAGCACUUUCAGUGAGGAAGAACGCCUGGUGGUUAAUACCCAUCUGGAAAGACAUCACUCACAGAAGAAGCACCGGCUAACUCCGUGCCAGCAGCCGCGGUAAUACGGAGGGUGCGAGCGUUAAUCGGAAUUACUGGGCGUAAAGCGCGCGUAGGUGGCUUGAUAAGCCGGUUGUGAAAGCCCCGGGCUCAACCUGGGAACGGCAUCCGGAACUGUCAAGCUAGAGUGCAGGAGAGGAAGGUAGAAUUCCCGGUGUAGCGGUGAAAUGCGUAGAGAUCGGGAGGAAUACCAGUGGCGAAGGCGGCCUUCUGGACUGACACUGACACUGAGGUGCGAAAGCGUGGGUAGCAAACAGGAUUAGAUACCCCUGUAGUC
rnacentral:rRNA from 1 species